GAAACGCGACAACACCGGCUAAUUGGCACUGAUCGGCAGAAAAAGGAGGAGAGACUUCUUUCCAAGAUGAUGAUGUUUGGGAAUUGGUCAAAUCUAGAGAAUAAGAUAAGCGUGGAUCUGGGCAAUGAAAAACUCCUCCUCCUGAGUGUUGGUGGCCACUUUGAUAUAUUUGACACCCAAAGAUGUAAAUUCUGGAAUCCAAAGCAACCAUGGAACUCAAUGGAGCAGCACCAUGUUGCAGUGUACGAGUAAGGUUCGAGACUUUACCAGUGUGGAGAUCCAAAAUAUAGUAACCAGUCUUGUUGAAAAUACAACGUCCUGCAAAAUCAUACUCGUCCUCCACCUCGGUCUGCCUGGCCUGUAGUACUAGUAAAAGCUGCUGCU
rnacentral:lncRNA from 1 species